UAGAUACCCUGGUAGUCCACGCAGUAAACGAUGAUUACUAGGAGUUUGCGAUAUACCGUCAAGCUUCCACAGCGAAAGCGUUAAGUAAUCCACCUGGGGAGUACGCCGGCAACGGUGAAACUCAAAGGAAUUGACGGGGGCCCGCACAAGCGGAGGAACAUGUGGUUUAAUUCGAUGAUACGCGAGGAACCUUACCCGGGAUUGAAAUGUAGACGACGGAUGGUGAAAGCCGUCUUCCCUUCGGGGCGUCUAUGUAGGUGCUGCAUGGUUGUCGUCAGCUCGUGCCGUGAGGUGUCGGCUUAAGUGCCAUAACGAGCGCAACCCACAUCGGUAGU
rnacentral:rRNA from 1 species